rnacentral:rRNA from 1 species
UACGGGGGGAGCAAGCGUUGUUCGGAUUUACUGGGCGUAAAGGGCGCGUAGGCGGCGUAACAAGUCACUUGUGAAAUCUCCGGGCUUAACCCGGAGCGGCCAAGUGAUACUGUUGUGCUAGAGUGCGGAAGGGGCUACUGGAAUUCUCGGUGUAGCGGUGAAAUGCGUAGAGAUGUGGAGGAACACCGAUGGCGAAGGCAGCCCCCUGGGCCAAUACUGACGCUCAUGCACGAAAGCGUGGGGAGCAAACAGG